rnacentral:lncRNA from 1 species
AUAACCUUAUAAUUCCGCUACCUAAGUUGCCAUAAUAACUAAAGUCAAAGAACAUAUAACAUACUUAGUAUCAAAUUAAUUCAAUUGUAUUGACCUUCACACACACAAACUGUAUAUAAAUACUACAUUCACCAUACUCCAUCCUGCAGUUUUGCAAAACAGUCUUUGUUUAUUUGCCUCUUCCCCUCCCUAACAUUAAUUUGUCCUAAUUAGUAAAGAAGCUUAACAGCUACAAGACUGUAUAAGAAAAUGAAGGGUUACUCUCUUAUAGUAGCACUUAAUGAAAUUUCUCUUAUCAUCUUCCUUCUCCUGGUCUCGUACUCCAUGAAUGUUCAAGGCAUGAGACCUCUGAAAGAUCAAUCUCCUCCAUCAUUCUUAAGUUUAAUAAUCAACCAGGCUUAUUCUGGACCAAGUCGCAGAGGACGCGGUCACUGAGAAUUAAGACUUUGAAUUAAAAUUCUUAAAACUUAUUUUUAUUUUAUUUUCUCCAUAGUAUACUACAAGCAUAAAUGUUGCAGUAGUUUUGAUAAUUCUGUUAAAUAUUGUUAUUAUGACUUGAAACUUCAUAGAGUUGGAAGUUAGCCAAGGGGAGACAUUAUGUUAGUUGCUUAUAACAGAAUGUAACCAAGUUAGUUAGUACGUUACUAGUUAGUGAUAAUUGUUAGGCCUACAUAAGGAUUGUAAUUGUUCAUCAAGGAAAUAAUAAAGAUAAUCCAUUCUACAAUUUACUCUCUCUAAAGUCUCUCAAUUCUUUAUAUAAUUGCCACUAUAUUCUUGUUCAUGUUUGUCACUGCAAUCAAGUUGCAGGUUUUGUUUAUAUAACAGAUUGUUAUCAGCAGCUCUGGUUAAUGUUUCAGGGUAAUUCAUCAAAGGCAAGGACGGGUUCUACUAAGUUCUAG